UCUAGUGGGUGUAGCUGGUAUUUCUCCUCCCCUCCCUUGCUUUCUGUCAUGUGAGGUAAUCAGGAAGUUAAUUUAAGAAUCAGGAAGGCUGCUGCCAUGUGCAUGGAAACGCACUAGUCAAAUCCUCUGUCAUCUGUGCUUAUCUUCAGUGCUUGUGAUGGCAUCGUCUAGUUCUAUGUCAUGAACACCUGGAGAAUGCGUCCUUUUACACAAUCUAUAAACCACUGAUAGAUGGCCGGC